GGGCUAUUAGCUCAGUGGUAGAGCGCGCCCCUGAUAAUUGGGCUGUGAGGGCUCUCAGCCACAUGGAUAGUUCA
rnacentral:tRNA from 1 species